CGUCCCAGUUCGGACUGCAGUCUGCAACUCGACUGCACGAAGCUGGAAUCGCUAGUAAUCGCGAAUCAGAAUGUCGCGGUGAAUACGUUCCCGGGUCUUGUACACACCGCCCGUCACACCAUGGGAGUCGGUAACGCCCGAAGUCAGUGACCCAACCGUAAGGAGGGAGCUGCCGAAGGCGGGACUGGUAACUGGGGUGAAGUCGUAACAAGGUACC
rnacentral:rRNA from 1 species